rnacentral:miRNA from 1 species
AAAGUUCGUUCGGAUUUUUC